GUUUCAGGUGGUGUAAACAUCCUUCACUCUCAGCUGUGAGAUGGAAGCACACUGAGAGGAGGGGUGUUGACACCAGCUGACUC
rnacentral:pre_miRNA from 1 species